UGGUGGAGUGAUUUGUCUGGUUAAUUCCGUUAACGAACGAGACCUUAACCUGCUAAAUAGUUUCAUGUAACUUCGGUUAUGUGGGUAACUUCUUAGAGGGGACUUUGCGUGUUUAACGCAAGGAAGUUUGAGGCAAUAACA
rnacentral:rRNA from 1 species